rnacentral:rRNA from 1 species
AAGGAGCGCACCAGGCGCGAAAACUCCGCAAUGCACGAAAGUGUGACGGGGUCAGCCCGAGUGCCAACCGAAAAAGUUGGCUUUUCACCAGCCCAAACAGCUGGUGGAAUAAGGGGAGGGCAAGGCUGGUGCCAGCCGCCGCGGUAAAACCAGCUCCUCGAGUGGUCAAGACGAUUAUUGGGUCUAAAGGGUCUGUAGCCGGCUGGUUAAGUCUCUUGGGAAAUCUGGCCUCUUAAGGGUCAGGCUGCCAGGAGAUACUGACUGGCUUGGGACCGGGAGAGGUGAGAGGUACCUCAGGGGUAGGGGUGAAAUCUUGUAAUCCUUGAGGGACCACCAGUGGCGAAGGCGUCUCACCAGAACGGAUCCGACGGCAAGGGACGAAAGCUAGGGGCACGAACCGGAUUAGAUACCCGGGUAGUCCUAGCCGUAAACGAUACUCGCUAGGUGUCGGCCACGGUGCGACCGUGGUCGGUGCCGUAGGGAAGCCGUGAAGCGAGCCACCUGGGAAGUACGGCCGCAAGGCUGAAACUUAAAGGAAUUGGCGGGGGAGCAGCUGCAU